rnacentral:tRNA from 1 species
AUUUAUAUAAAUUAUAUUUAUAUAUUUAUAAUAUAUCUUUAAUAAAUAAUACAAUUUUAUUUAUUAAUA